rnacentral:rRNA from 1 species
GUGCCCAGAUGGGAUUAGCUAGUAGGUGGGGUAACGGCUCACCUAGGCGACGAUCCCUAGCUGGUCUGAGAGGAUGACCAGCCACACUGGAACUGAGACACGGUCCAGACUCCUACGGGAGGCAGCAGUGGGGAAUAUUGCACAAUGGGCGCAAGCCUGAUGCAGCCAUGCCGCGUGUAUGAAGAAGGCCUUCGGGUUGUAAAGUACUUUCAGCGGGGAGGAAGGCGAUAAGGUUAAUAACCUUGUCGAUUGACGUUACCCGCAGAAGAAGCACCGGCUAACUCCGUGCCAGCAGCCGCGGUAAUACGGAGGGUGCAAGCGUUAAUCGGAAUUACUGGGCGUAAAGCGCACGCAGGCGGUCUGUCAAGUCGGAUGUGAAAUCCCCGGGCUCAACCUGGGAACUGCAUUCGAAACUGGCAGGCUAGAGUCUUGUAGAGGGGGGUAGAAUUCCAGGUGUAGCGGUGAAA